rnacentral:rRNA from 1 species
UACGGAGGGCGCAAGCGUUGUUCGGAAUCACUGGGCGUAAAGCGCGUGUAGGCGGCUUGGCAAGUCGGGUGUGAAAUCCCGAGGCUCAACCUCGGAACUGCACUCGAAACUGCCUGGCUUGAGUCCCGGAGAGGGUGGCGGAAUUCCCGGUGUAGGGGUGAAAUCCGUAGAUAUCGGGAGGAACACCAGUGGCGAAGGCGGCCACCUGGACGGUGACUGACGCUGAGACGCGAAAGCGUGGGGAGCAAACAGG